CCCUACGGGGCAGCAGUGAGGAAUAUUGGUCAAUGGGCGCGAGCCUGAACCAGCCAAGUCGCGUGAGGGAAGACGGUCCUAUGGAUUGUAAACCUCUUUUGUCGGGGAGCAAAAGACGCCACGUGUGGCGUUCCGAGAGUACCGGAAGAAAAAGCAUCGGCUAACUCCGUGCCAGCAGCCGCGGUAAUACGGAGGAUGCGAGCGUUAUCCGGAUUUAUUGGGUUUAAAGGGUGCGCAGGCGGAAGAUCAAGUCAGCGGUAAAAUUGAGAGGCUCAACCUCUUCGAGCCGUUGAAACUGGUUUUCU
rnacentral:rRNA from 1 species